rnacentral:rRNA from 1 species
UACGUAGGGUGCAAGCGUUAAUCGGAAUUACUGGGCGUAAAGCGUGCGCAGGCGGUUAUGUAAGACAGAUGUGAAAUGCCCGGGCUUAACCUGGGAAUGGCAUUUGUGACUGCACGGCUAGAGUGUGUCAGAGGGGGGUAGAAUUCCACGUGCAGCAGUGAAAUGCGUAGAUAUGUGGAGGAAUACCGAUGGCGAAGGCAGCCCCCUGGGAUAACACUGACGCUCAUGCACGAAAGCGUGGGGAGCAAACAGG